rnacentral:tRNA from 1 species
GCCCAGAUGGCGGAAUAGGUAGACGCGCUGGUCUCAAACACCAGUGGGGCAACCCGUGCCGGUUCGAUUCCGGCUCUGGGUA